UACGUAGGUGUCGAGCGUUGUCCGGAUUUAUUGGGCGUAAAGAGCCCGCAGGCGGCUUGGCAAGUUUGAGGUGAAAUCUCCCGGCUCAACUGGGAGGGUGCCUUGAAAACUGCUAGGCUUGAGGCAGGGAGAGGGAUGUGGAAUUCCAGGUGUAGUGGUGAAAUGCGUAGAUAUCUGGAGGAACACCGAUGGCGAAGGCAGGUCUCUGGGCCACUACUGACGCUGAGAAGCGAAAAGCAUGGGGAGCGAACAGG
rnacentral:rRNA from 1 species